UACGUAGGGUGCGAGCGUUGUCCGGAAUUAUUGGGCGUAAAGAGCUUGUAGGCGGUUUGUCGCGUCUGCCGUGAAAAUCCGGGGCUCAACCCCGGACUUGCGGUGGGUACGGGCAGGACUAGAGUGUGGUAGGGGAGACUGGAAUUCCUGGUGUAGCGGUGAAAUGCGCAGAUAUCAGGAGGAACACCGAUGGCGAAGGCAGGUCUCUGGGCCACUACUGACACUGAAUCGCGAAAGCUAGGGGAGCAAACGGG
rnacentral:rRNA from 1 species